UACGUAGGGUGCGAGCGUUGUCCGGAAUUACUGGGCGUAAAGAGCUCGUAGGCGGUUUGUCACGUCGUCUGUGAAAUCCUAGGGCUUAACCCUGGACGUGCAGGCGAUACGGGCUGACUUGAGUACUACAGGGGAGACUGGAAUUCCUGGUGUAGCGGUGGAAUGCGCAGAUAUCAGGAGGAACACCGAUGGCGAAGGCAGGUCUCUGGGCAGUAACUGACGCUGAGGAGCGAAAGCAUGGGGAGCGAACAGG
rnacentral:rRNA from 1 species